AUGGGAACUUCUGGCAUGGACGAAAGCCUGACGGUGUAACGCCGCGUGAGCUGAAGAACCGUUUUCGGAUCGUAAAACUCUGUUGGUAGAGAACGAACGUUGGUGAGAGUGGAAACGCUCAUCAAGUGACGGUAACUACCCAGAAAUGGGACGGCUAACUACGUGCCAGCAGCCGCGGUAAUACGUAGCGUCCCGAGCGUCUGUACCGGAUUUAUUUGGGCGUAAACGCCGAGCGCAGGUGCGUUUCAUUAAGUCUGGUGUAAAAGGCAGUGGCUACAACCAUAUGUAUGCAUUGGAAACUGGAUAGACUUGAGUGACAGGAGAGGAGCAGUGGAAUUCCAUGUGCUAGCGGUGAAAUGCGUAGAUAUAUGGAGGAACACCGGUGGCGAAAGCGGCUCUCUGGCCCUGUAACUGACACCUGAGGCUCGAAAGACGUGGGGAGCAAACAGGAUUAGAUACCCUGGUAGUCCACGCCGUCAAACGAUGAGUGCUAGCAUGUAGGGAGCUUAUAAGUUCUCUGUAUCAGCAGCUAACGCAAUUAUGCAUCUCCGCCUGGGGAGUACGACACGCGAGGUUGAAACUUCAAA
rnacentral:rRNA from 1 species